ACCAAAUAGAUACCCAGGUAGUCCACGCCCUAAACGAUGCGAACUGGAUGUUGGGUACAUUACGGUACUCAGUGUCGAAAGCUAAACGCGUUAAGUUCGCCGCCUGGGGAGUACGGUCGCAAGACUGAAACUCAAAGGAAUUGACGGGGGCCCGCACAAGCGGUGGAGUAUGUGGUCUAAAUUCGAUGCAACGCGAAGAACCUUACCUGGCCUUGACAUCUGUCGAAUCCUGCAGAGAUGCGGGAGUGCCGCAAGGAACGACAAGACAGGUGCUGCAUGGCUGUCGUCAGCUCGUGUCGUGAGAUGUUGGGUUUAAGUCCCGCAACGAGCGCAACCCUUGUCCCUAGUUGCCAGCACGUAAUGGUGGGAACUCUAGGGAGACUGCCGGUGACAAACCGGAGGAAGGUGGGG
rnacentral:rRNA from 1 species